rnacentral:rRNA from 1 species
GACGAACGCUGGCGGCGUGCCUAAUACAUGCAAGUAGAACGCUGAAGAGAGGAGCUUGCUCUUCUUGGAUGAGUUGCGAACGGGUGAGUAACGCGUAGGUAACCUGCCUUGUAGCGGGGGAUAACUAUUGGAAACGAUAGCUAAUACCGCAUAACAAUGGAUGACACAUGUCAUUUAUUUGAAAGGGGCAAUUGCUCCACUACAAGAUGGACAUGCGUUGUAUUAGCUAGUAGGUGAGGUAAUGGCUCACCUAGGCGACGAUACAUAGCCGACCUGAGAGGGUGAUCGGCCACACUGGGACUGAGACACGGCCCAGACUCCUACGGGAGGCAGCAGUAGGGAAUCUUCGGCAAUGGGGGCAACCCUGACCGAGCAACGCCGCGUGAGUGAAGAAGGUUUUCGGAUCGUAAAGCUCUGUUGUAAGUCAAGAACGGGUGUGAGAGUGGAAAGUUCACACUGUGACGGUAGCUUACCAGAAAGGGACGGCUAACUACGUG